rnacentral:rRNA from 1 species
GAUGAACGCUGGCGGCGUGCUUAACACAUGCAAGUCGAACGAAGCACUUAAGAUUGAUUCUUCGGAUGACGUCUUUUGUGACUUAGUGGCGGACGGGUGAGUAACGCGUGGGUAACCUGCCUCACACAGGGGGAUAACAGUUAGAAAUGACUGCUAAUACCGCAUAACCCGAUAGGAUCGCAUGAUCCAGACGGAAAAGAUUUAUCGGUGUGAGAUGGACCCGCGUCUGAUUAGCUAGUUGGUGAGGUAACGGCCCACCAAGGCGACGAUCAGUAGCCGGCCUGAGAGGGUGAACGGCCACAUUGGGACUGAGACACGGCCCAAACUCCUACGGGAGGCAGCAGUGGGGAAUAUUGCACAAUGGGGGAAACCCUGAUGCAGCGACGCCGCGUGAGUGAAGAAGUAUUUCGGUAUGUAAAGCUCUAUCAGCAGGGAAGAAAAUGACGGUACCUGACUAAGAAGCCCCGGCUAACUACGCG